AUUGAACGCUGGCGGCAUGCCUUACACAUGCAAGUCGAACGGCAGCACGGGUGCUUGCACCUGGUGGCGAGUGGCGAACGGGUGAGUAAUACAUCGGAACGUACCUUAUCGUGGGGGAUAACGCAGCGAAAGCUGUGCUAAUACCGCAUACGCCCUGAGGGGGAAAGCGGGGGAUCGAAAGACCUCGCGCGAUUAGAGCGGCCGAUGCCUGAUUAGCUUGUUGGUGGGGUAAAAGCCCACCAAGGCGACGAGCAGUAGCUGGUCUGAGAGGACGAUCAGCCACACGGGGCAUGGGACACGGCCCAGACUCCUACGGGAGGCAGCAGUGGGGAAUUUUGGACAAUGGGGGAAACCCUGAUCCAGCAAUGCCGCGUGAGUGAAGAAGGCCUUCGGGUUGUAAAGCUCUUUUGUCAGGGAAGAAACACCGGCUCUAACACAGUCCGGGAAUGACGGUACCUGAAGAAUAAGCACCGGCUAACUACGUGCCAGCAGCCGCCGUAA
rnacentral:rRNA from 1 species